rnacentral:misc_RNA from 1 species
AAAAGAGUGUCGUCAUCUAUCUCUCUCUUUACACUCCUACACACACACACACACACACACGUGAGCCUUGAUCCAUCAUUGCGCCUUCUACUUCGCUAUACGCAAACGCGCUCAGACGUUCACGGACACCACCGCCACCGCAGCCGCAGCAGCCGAAAGCCGCACGUAGGAAUGCAGGCGAGCCUUACCACGAAGAUUGUCUGAUCAGCCCGUCUUUAUCUCUCGCUCCCAUCGUUGUAUAUACAUUGCAGCGAGUCUUGCUGCUGGCGUUCUCUGCUCCGUGUGUGCCCACUCGCGCGCCGUUGGAGUUGUUCGCCGCGAACUCGCGCAGCCUCCCCCUCCCCUCACCCUCUCGCGAAAAUUCUUCGCUUCUCUCAACGGCUGAUGUCCCGCGCGUACGACCUCGUGGUGCUUGGCGCCGGAUCUGGAGGUCUGGAGGCGGGAUGGAACGCGGCCGUCACGCACAAGAAGAAGGUGGCCGUCGUCGAUGUGCAGGCGACGCACGGUCCGCCGCUCUUCGCUGCGCUCGGCGGCACGUGCGUGAACGUCGGCUGCGUGCCAAAGAAACUCAUGGUGACAGGUGCCCAGUACAUGGACCUGAUCCGUGAGUCUGGCGGCUUCGGAUGGGAGAUGGACCGCGAAUCGCUCUGCCCCAACUGGAAGACGCUCAUCGCCGCGAAGAACAAGGUGGUGAACAGCAUCAACGAGAGCUACAAGAGCAUGUUCGCUGAUACGGAGGGCCUCAGCUUUCACAUGGGCUUCGGUGCCCUUCAAGACGCUCACACGGUGGUGGUGCGCAAGUCGGAAGACCCACACAGCGACGUGCUGGAGACCCUCGACACGGAGUACAUCCUCAUUGCCACCGGCUCCUGGCCGACGCGCCUCGGAGUCCCCGGCGACGAGUUCUGCAUCACGAGCAACGAGGCCUUCUACCUCGAGGAUGCCCCCAAGCGGAUGCUGUGCGUCGGCGGCGGCUACAUCGCCGUUGAGUUUGCCGGCAUCUUCAACGGCUACAAGCCCUGCGGUGGCUAUGUCGACCUGUGCUACCGCGGCGAUCUUAUUUUGCGCGGCUUCGAUACAGAGGUGCGCAAGAGCCUGACGAAGCAGCUGGGGGCGAACGGAAUAAGAGUGCGUACAAACUUGAACCCGACGAAGAUCACGAAGAAUGAGGACGGCUCGAAUCACGUUCACUUCAACGAUGGCACGGAGGAGGACUACGAUCAGGUCAUGCUCGCGAUCGGUCGCGUGCCGCGCUCGCAGGCACUACAGCUCGACAAGGCCGGCGUCCGAACAGGAAAGAACGGUGCCGUGCAGGUCGACGCGUAUUCGAAGACAUCGGUGGACAACAUCUACGCCAUCGGCGACGUGACGAACCGCGUGAUGUUGACGCCGGUGGCCAUCAACGAAGGCGGCGCCUUCGUUGAAACCGUCUUCGGUGGCAAGCCCCGCGCCACCGACCACACGAAGGUCGCGUGCGCCGUGUUCUCCAUACCGCCGAUCGGCACGUGCGGCAUGACGGAGGAGGAGGCGGCGAAGAACUACGAAACCGUCGCCGUGUACGCGAGCUCCUUCACGCCCCUUAUGCACAACAUCAGCGGCAGCAAGCACAAGGAAUUCAUGAUCCGCAUCAUCACGAACGAAUCCAACGGCGAGGUUCUGGGUGUUCACAUGCUCGGCGACAGUGCGCCUGAGAUCAUCCAGAGCGUCGGCAUUUGCAUGAAGAUGGGUGCCAAGAUCAGCGACUUCCACAGCACCAUCGGAGUCCACCCGACGAGCGCCGAGGAGCUCUGCUCCAUGCGCACUCCAGCGUACUUCUACGAGAGUGGCAAGCGCGUCGAAAAGCUCAGCAGCAACCUCUGAAGAGGGAGGAGAGAUGAAGAAGAACGCCUCAGCCCUUCCACCUAGCCGUGAUGCACGGGUAUCACAGACCAGCAGGCAUGCAGAGAUGGAAAGGGGAAGAGGUCAGCAGGCAGUGACGUCUGAUCUCCUUCAGCGUCGGUCGCUUCGGCCGCUUCCUCUCCGACCUCCCCCCACCACCACCACUGCCACCACUCCUCCUCUCCGCAUAACCUAUCAGCAGUCGCGCACGCCUCAUCAAUACGCACGCACACCCGCCGGUGGCGGGGCGCAGGAUGGAGAAGGGCAGCGGAUGGAGCUUCCCUUCUCCCACGCCCUUUUCACCCCACCGCGCCGUGCGGGUUUUGUGGUUUGUGCGUGUGUUUGUGCUUUCUAGUGGGGAGAAAGGCCUCUCCGCAUCGUUCAACUAUUUCGCUCUGCGUGUGAGCACGCGUGCGCACUUGCGCGUUCGCGUGCUCGUUCCUUUCUUGCCUUCUUUCGCCCUCCGCGUGCGUGCGUGCGUGCUCUCCCAUAUAUAUUAUUCUGGUUUCCAUUCCGUGUACUCUUGUGUUCUUAGG